UUAAGCCGUUAAAUAAAUUCAAGAAAUUGGGAGAAGGAAACAAAAGAAAAAAGAAUGGCUGCAGCAUCAUCACUCUCUAUCUUCUUGACACUGCGAAAACCAAACGCCAUUAAAAUCUCAAAGACCAGACCUUUCUUAACAUGUAAAGCCCAAGAGUCUUCUUCUUCUUCAGUUUCAUUUCCCUCGAAAAUUUCGAGCAAGAAAAAGCCAUUUCUUGAAGUGGGCUUUGGCUUGUUAGCUGCUUCAUUGUUGAUAUUGAGUCCAUUAGAAAAUGCAAAUGCAACAAGACUCAAUUACUAUGCCACUGUUGAAGAACCUUCUUGUGACCUUAAAUUUGUUCCUUCUGGCCUUGGCUACUGUGAUCUUGUGGUUGGCUCUGGCCUUGAAGCUCCUUAUAAUCAGCUUAUCAAUGUUCACUACACUGGAAGGUUUGCUGAUGGAACAGUUUUUGACAGUAGCUAUAAAUUUGCUAGGCCUCUCACCAUGCGCAUUGGCGUGGGCAAGGUGAUCAAAGGUUUGGAUCAAGGAAUACUUGGAGGUGAAGGGGUACCCCCAAUGUUUGUUGGUGGAAAGCGUAAGCUUCAUAUACCUCCAGAAUUGGCAUAUGGACCAGAACCUGCUGGAUGCUUUUCAGGUGACUGCAAUGUACCAGCAAAUGCCACUCUGGUAUAUAAUGUCAACUUUGUGGGAAUCUAUAGUGGAAAUAGGAAGUGAAAGAUCUUCGGUGUGCAUAUAUGUAUGAUAACAGAAAAUCUCGUAACAACCUUGAAAGAAUGAUAUUACACAGGUCUUCUUAAGAGAGUUUCAAGUGUAGUAUAUUUCUGCAUCCUCUCUCAACAAUGUCCUAAAUUCUGGAGUAUAUUAGUUGUCUCUGUCCUUUGCACGUUUAGAAGAAUGGAUAUCUGCAUAACACUCACCGAGAAGGUGAUGGAUAUUUAACCAUUUAAAUAUAUCAGUCCCAUGAUAUCUCAUUGCCUUAUAAACCAUAUAAUCAAUGAUAAUAUAAAGGAAUGCUACUGUUACAGAAGACAUUAUAUGAUCUGGGAUUGGUCUAAUCUAAAGGAUACCGAGGAAUUAGGUCUCCUUCCUUUUCUUUAUUGAACAAUUCACCAUAUGUUUCUCUGUACUUGUGUUAUUUCGUUGUUGUUGAACUUUGUAAGAUCUGUAUUAGUUCUAAAUAUUUGUCAAACUAGACUAGUAGGAGCUCAUGAAUAUCAUUUUGCAAGGCAAUUAUAGGAUUUUAAAGCAUUGA